GUAGUGGUGGUUCAGCGGUAGAAUCUUGCCUUCCACGCGGGAGACCCGGGUUGGAUUCCUGGCCAGUGCA
rnacentral:tRNA from 1 species